rnacentral:lncRNA from 1 species
UUUUUUUUUUUUUGACCUCUCCAUAGGCGUGAACUUUGAUACUGUAGGACAUUUUUUUUAGAAAUCAUGAAAUGUCAGGAAGUUACCAUGCAAUCAUAAAAAUGGACUCAACCCAUAAUUUGUGAUCACUCGAUUGAUUAGAUGGUAUUUAAAUUGGGGCUUUCUAUUUUCUAUCAGAAGGUCAUAACAAAAUAGUUUGCUGCACCUGCGGCACGUGGAAGUUCCCGGCCAGGGAUCAAAGCCAUGCCGCAGCUGUAUCCUGAGCUGUUGCAGGAGCAAUGCUAGAUCCUUAACCCACUUCACCACAAGGGACCUCCUAAAUGGCUAUUUUAAAGUGAUUAGGACAUAAUAAAAUCAUUUCUCUACAGCUCUUCAUAAUACUGCAUUUUAAUCCAUUUUGAAAUUUUUUAUUGCACAGCUACUGUGUGCGAGACACUGAUAUGCAUCUGUGGUAAGUCACUUUCUAUACAUUCUACCUAUUUCAGUGAAUGCAUCAAGCAGAUUUUAACUCUAGCCUGCAACAUUACCGUCAAAAGGGAGAUGUGUUUCCAAGACGAAAUGAGGUGCAUUGACUCAAGACUUGGACAUAGAGUAAAUAGUUUGCACUGACUCUUUGGAAUUGUGACUGGUCAUUGGAGAAAUAGCAAAGCAAGAAUUUCUUAUGUUUGAAUUCCUGUGUCCUCUCUGCCAUCUUUCUUUCUGUUGGUGCUAAUAAGAAAUGGAGUAGCCCCCAAAAACAAAAGCAAGAAAGCAAACAGAGAGAGCCAAAGCAUACAUAUUGGUUAACAUAGCCACCUUUAUUGACCGUGCUGGGUUUUAUUAAAACCUGGCUUUUAGAAGUUCUGUUGUGGUAUAGCGGAAACAAAUCCGACUAGCAUCAAUGAGGAUGUGGGUUCGAUCCCUGGCCUCGCUCAGGGGAUCUUGCAUUGCUGUGGCUGUGGUGCUAGGGGUCUAAUUGGAGCUGUAGCUGCUGGCCUACGCCAGAGCCACAGCAAUGCGGGAUCCGAGCUGCGUCUGCAACCUACACCACAGCUCACGGCAACACCAGAUCCUUAACCCACUGAGCAAGGCCAGGGAUCGAACCCGAAACCUCAUGGUUCCUAGUCAGAUUCAUUAACCACUGCGCCACGACGGGAACUCCUCCUACAUGUGUCUUUUCAAGACAUGGUUUUUUUCUGGAUAGAUGCCCCGGGGUGGGAUUGCUGGAGCAAAUCGUAAUUCUAUUUUUAGUUUUUUGAGGAAUCUACAUAACUGUUUUCCAUAGUGGUUGCACCAAUUUACAUUCCCACCAACAGUGUAAGAGGGUUUCCUUUUCUUCACACUCUCUCCAGCGUUUAUUGUUUAUAGACUUUUUGAUUGCAGUCUGCCAAUUUUGUGAUUGAAAUUUACCCUCAGCGGGUUGCCUUCACUUUAUAGACAUUAGCUGUAAUCCUGAACAUUGCAUUUUUGGUAGGUAAAACUGUAUUCCAGGCUCCAUAAGGGAGUAUUGUAAGUGUCCAUGCAGUUUCCACAGGGGAAAUGAAUCCAACUAGGAACCAUGAGGUUGCCGGUUUGAUCCCUGGCUUUGCUCAGCGGGUUAAGGAUCUGGCAUUGUCAUGAACUAUGGCGCAGGUCGCAGAUGUGGCUCGGAUCUGGCGUUGCUGUGGCUGUGGUGUGACAUGGAAAGAGCCUCUUAGAAGGACUAUUCAAAUAUCACCCACUUCCUCGCUAAAGCUAAUGUUGUGUUUCCUGCAAGUAUUACUCAUACUUGUUUCAUCAACACCACCCACAUUUAAAAAUAAGGCUUUAUUUUGACACUUAAAAAUUCUAAGCUACCAAGAAUACAUGCAUACCCUGGGAGAUUAAUCUAAUUAGAUUUUGGAAUGUGGGUGUGAAGUCUUCUGGAAUUAGUGUUUGUAAAUGAAAUAUUUGUUUCCUCAUUUAGUAAUCUGUAUUCAUACCAGCUUGAGCCCAGUGAUGUGUCUAGAUAAAAAAAGGGCCAAAUAUGUAAAUUAUAUUAAAGAGUUAGGAAUAUACAAGCUUUUAACAUUGAUUGAUCACGGCCUUCCAAUUGGGACCAACUUUCAACUCAAAGCCUCGUCUGAUUUGUAAAAUUCUAUGCUAAAUGUAUGUAAAACUCCAUGGCUUAAUACUCGAACCUCAAUGGCCUAAUCCUAGAACUAUGCUCAUACCUCCACCACCAGCACCAAAAUAGACACAACUUGUAAUUUCUUGUUGCAAAAGUUAUAAUACCUCUUCACAUUUAAACUAUAAUAUCACAUUACCUGUAUUGUGCUUUCUUUUUUUUUUUUUUAAUUUAGAACACAUCAUUUCAGUGAUUGGAAUGAAGUUUUCAAUAAGAAUUAUUUCUUAGACUAACAUCUCUGGGUUUAGUGUACAACAGAUCAGCAGCUACAGUUUCCACUUUUACUUCUCUACUCUUUGUAUGGGGUUUAAAAAUAGAAAUAGAUUAUAAUUGCAUAAACUGUAGGUGUAGUAUUUUCACAUGCACCACCGUGCCUAAACACUGUUGCAUAAUUGUCAUCAACGUGCCCCAUUAUUGAGAGCUUAUCAUGUCCCGGGGUAAUGCAAAGUUUUUCCAUCCGUCAUCUCCUUUAUGCUUCCCAAGAAUCCAGUGAAUUUAAGUAGCAUUUGUGCCAGCAACUGAGAAGAUUCUGAGGUGGAGUUAAGAGUGCUUGGCUUUAUAGGGAAGUAGCAUCUGUGAAAGGAAAAGGGAGCAGCUGUAAUGAGGCAGAGGGAGCCAUCAGACGGCAAUGCUGCCUGACGAAGUCUCCACUAGGCCAGAGAGGAGCUCUAGAGCAAAGGCUGCCCAUUCAAGGAGUGUCCCAUUGGCAGAUAUGGGUAGGCCCUUGUACCGCUGCCUUGCUCGUUCAUUGGCAAAGGGCUGCUCCUAGAACAGUCUGACCUUGGCUGCCAUCUUGCUCAGUCGUUGACUGGGGGCUGCUGAAAGAACACCAUGACCUUGCUCCAAAGAUGAGGCAGACCCUAAAUGAAAGAGGCUGUCUGCUCAUUAUGCCCCUUGCAGCUGGGCAGCGAGUCCUUUCUGGAAGAAGGAUCUGAGCGGCACAUCACUGUACCCGCCACAUCAUUGGCAUCCCCUUUCGUAAGAGAGGAAGUGGAAGCACAGAACGGUAAAAUCCCUUGCCAAGGUCACAGAGUGGGAAGCAGAGAUUCAAUCCCAAGUCUUGGGCUCUAGAUCCCGCCUUCUCUUUUUUUCAAGUUAAUACUGUCAGGAUUUAUUAUUAUUGUUUGAAUGCUUCAUUAUAGGAAUUUUAAAACAUAUGUAGAGAAGAUAUUAGGAAUCCCUAUGUACUCAUCACUCAGCUUCAAGAUUAUCAAUAUGUUGGCAUUCUUGUUUCAUCUUUUUGCCCCCACAUGGUUUUUUAGAACCCUUGUCUUCUCUGUCACACACUGUAAUGCUCCUCUGUCUCCUCCCUUUCUGAGGAGUCAAGCAUAGAACACACAUUCUCCUUACAUCUUUUUCCUUUUCUUUUCUUUUUCUUUUUUUUUUUUUUUUGUCUUUUUAGGGCUGCACUGGCGGCAUGUGGCUGUUCCCAGACUAGGGGUCCAAUGGGAGCUGCAGCUGGCAGCCUACAACACAGCCAUAGCCCCGCCAGAUCCAAGCUGCAUCUGCUACCUACACCACAGCUCAUGGCAACGCCUGGAUCCUUAACCCGCUGAGCGAGGCCAGGGAUCGAUUCUGCGUCCUCAUGGAUACUAGUCGGGUUCCUUACUGCUGAGCCAUGACAGGAACUCCUCCCUCCAUCUUUUAACAUAUGAAAAGGGAAGAGAACCCAGUUGUUCUGCAUCUGAUGCACCUUUGCUAGGGGAUUUAAAUGCAUCCUUUCAUAACCUGACAAGGACCCUGUGAGUGCAUUUCCAUUUUAUAGACCAAACAAUGAAUGCUUAUGCUGGAAUUUAAAUAUUUUUUUCCUAAUACUAAACAAAUGCAAUUUUUAAAAAAAUGCAUCUUCUGAAUUAGUAGCUCACAAACCCUCUUCUCCCCAUUACUCACUCGUAAUUCCCCAACACUUAUGUAAGUUUUGCUUUUGAAAACGUUAGAUGUUACUCAUGUUGAGAAUCCCUUAGAACCAGUGACUCACAGUGCUAAGCGCUGCAGAUGCAGCAGAAACUAUUACGAAUGAAGCUCGUGCUCUAGCAGGUGCUUCAUAUAUGUCUUGUGAUACCCUCAUUCUUGGUUUUUAAAAAAAUUUUAGGAGUUCCCUUGUGACAUAGUAGGUUAAGGAUCCAGUGUUGUAAUUGCAGUGCCUCCAGGCAGUGCUGUGGCACAGGUUCAAUACCUGCCCUCUCUUUAUUUUAUUUUAUUUGUCUUUUUGUCUUUUCUAGGGCCACUUCCGAGGCAUAUGGAGGUUCCCAGGCUAGGGGUCCAAUCGGAGCUAUAGCCGCCGGCCUACGCCAGA